AUUGAACGCUGGCGGCAUGCCUUACACAUGCAAGUCGAACGGCGGCACGGGGGCAACCCUGGUGGCGAGUGGCGAACGGGUGAGUAAUACAUCGGAACGUGUCCAGUCGUGGGGGAUAACCAGUCGAAAGACUGGCUAAUACCGCAUGCGCCCGAAAGGGGGAAAGCGGGGGACCCGAGGGUAACUUCGGGCCUCGCGCGAUUGGAGCGGCCGAUGUCCGAUUAGCUAGUUGGCGGGGUAACGCCCACCAAGGCGACGAUCGGUAGCUGGUCUGAGAGGACGACCAGCCACACUGGGACUGAGACACGGCCCAGACUCCUACGGGAGGCAGCAGUGGGGAAUUUUGGACAAUGGGGACAACCCCUGAUCCAGCCAUUCCGCGUGAGUGAAGAAGGCCUCGG
rnacentral:rRNA from 1 species